GAGGCACGGCGGGCGAUUGCUUGGGAUACCAAGAGGAAAGUCCGGGCUGCAAUGAGACAGGGUUCCGUCUAACGGACGGCCGGCGAAAGCCGAGGGCAAGUGCAACAGAAAGCAGACCGCCUAUCUUUGUGAUAGGUAAGGGUGAAACGGUGGUGUAAGAGACCACCAGCGCCUUUGGUAACAAAGGCGGCUGGGUAAACCCAACCCGCAGCAAGAAGAGUAUGGUUAAAGUCUCAUAUUUUUAAACUCUUCGCUAAAGCUCUAUCGUGAGAUAGAGAUUAGAUGAAUAAUCGCCUAAACAGAACCCGGCUUAUAGCCGUGCCUCGAUC
rnacentral:RNase_P_RNA from 1 species